UACGAAGGGGGCUAGCGUUGCUCGGAAUUACUGGGCGUAAAGGGCGCGUAGGCGGCACUGUUAGUCAGGCGUGAAAGUCCUGGGCUCAACCUGGGAACUGCGCUUGAUACGGCAGAGCUAGAGGAUGGAAGAGGGUCGCGGAAUUCCCAGUGUAGAGGUGAAAUUCGUAGAUAUUGGGAAGAACACCGGUGGCGAAGGCGGCGACCUGGUCCACUACUGACGCUGAGGCGCGACAGCGUGGGGAGCAAACAGG
rnacentral:rRNA from 1 species